rnacentral:lncRNA from 1 species
ACAGUUCCCACACUGCAGUGCCUCUGGUGAGGAGACAGCGCCACUGAGGCCUCCUCUGAACUCCCAAAAUGUGACCUAUGCCAUCACCGAGGCCGCAGGAACAAGAGGUGGGUGUCCAUGACAUUGGUACCUGUCAUCCCUGUGUGCAGCAGGUGUGCCCCACCCUGGAGGCAGCAGAAGAAGGUAUGUGAGUCAUUGUGGGCUAGGAAGGUGGCUAUGUCCAGGCCCUCAGCUGCAGCCUGGCUGGCAAGCUCAGGUGUGACCCAGGCCCCAGCAGCCUCUGUGGGCCCAUCCUGCCCAUCGGUGCCACCGCUCAAAAACAGCACAUCUAUCGGCCCCAGCGGCCACCUUCUCAACUCUGCUCCAACACGCAGGGCCAGUUCCUGGUUCCGGCCACCCCUGCCCGAGCCCUGCAGCUGUACUGUGGGCUCGCCACCAGCCAGCAGGCAGACUGGGCCCCUUCCCCAUGCCAUGGUCUCC